rnacentral:lncRNA from 1 species
CUAUUAAUGUGCUUUGAUACAGCACUUUGGCAACAUCCAACUUCCUUCGCAAUUACCUUUUGAGGCUUUCCCUCCUUAUGGAGGGUGUCAAUGAUGGUUUUCUGCACAACUGUCAGGUCAGCAGUCUUCCCCAUGAUUGUGAUUCCUACUGAACCAGACUGAGAGACCAUUUAAAGGCUCAGAAACCCUUUGCAGGUGUUAUGGCUUACUUAGCUGAUUAGAGUGGGACACUGUGAGCCUAGAAUAUUGCACCUUUUCACAAUAUUCUAAUUUACUGAGAUUGUGGAUUUGGGGUUUUCAUGAGCUGUAAGCCAUAAUCAUCGCACUUAUGACAAAUCAUGGCUUGAACUGUCUUGCUUUG